UACGUAGGGUGCAAGCGUUGUCCGGAAUUAUUGGGCGUAAAGAGCUCGUAGGUGGCCUGUCGCGUCGGCUGUGAAAACUCGGGGCUCAACUCCGAGCUUGCAGUCGAUACGGGCAGGCUAGAGUUCGGCAGGGGAGACUGGAAUUCCUGGUGUAGCGGUGAAAUGCGCAGAUAUCAGGAGGAACACCGGUGGCGAAGGCGGGUCUCUGGGCCGAUACUGACGCUGAGAAGCGAAAGCAUGGGGAGCGAACAGG
rnacentral:rRNA from 1 species